UCUGUGUAUGCUUACGGGGAGACCGGCCACGGCAUAGCCAAAGAACAGAACAGCUCUUCUUUGUGUGGAUGUGUUCACUCUUCUUUCUUUCUUUCCCUCUUGUUCUCUCUUUCUUUCUUUCUCUCUCUUUCGUUCUCUUUCUACCCUUGUCUCUCUCACGCACACACUCGCUCGCUCACUCACUCACUCACUCACUCACUCGCUCUGUGUCUCUAAUUCUCGCCCUCUCACACACUCUCUCUUUCUCUCACUCACUCACUCGCUCGUUUGCUCGUUCGCUCUGUCUCUCUCUGCCACAGUGGAGGACAAAGCGAGGGAGUGGAUGCCCCAGAGAGAGAGAGAGAGAGAGAGAGAGAGAGAGAGAGAGAGGGAGAGAGAGAAGAAAGAAAUGAGAGAACAAAACAACAGAGGGAAAUAGCUAUGAAAUAGUGAGGAGCAGAGGAGAGCAGCACGCCUGCCUGCCUGUCCGUCCGGUAGCUAUGGUGUGUCUGAGCGCGCUGGAAGGCUGGAAAACCGAGUGAGGAGAAGGAGACGAAGUGGAGGAGGAGGAGGAAAGGAGGAGGAGAGGAGAGAAGAAGAGAGGAACGGAGGAACGGAGAGGAGAGGAGAGGAGAAGAGAGGACAGGAGAGGAGCUGCUUGCUGCUCCAUAGCCGAGGAGAGAGCUAAGGGGUGUGUAAACAAACCGGCCGGAGCUGGAGAGUGUGACACAUACACACACACGCACACACUGACGACGCCUCGCUCCUCAGAUGCGGACCAGCACACAGGCCUCUGAGACCUGAGGGUCGUUUGAGAUUGGAGUGAGACAGGAGAGGAGUGAGACAGGAGAGGAGUGAGAUAUCUCUUCACUACUACCGCCAUGGCACA